AGGGGACGCCGGAAGUGACGUCAAGGGAGCCAUGGCGGCCUGUGGCGGGCGCGGCGUGGCCCUGGUCUGGGCCCUGGGGCUGGCGGCCGUGUGCCGGGCGCUCCUGGUUCCCAGCCACCACCUGACGAAGCCGGACGUGGACCGCCUCCGGGCAGCCUUCCUCCGCCGCCCCUUCCCCGACCUGGAAGCCGCCUACUACUCCGUCGUGGCGCUCAGCAAGCUCGGACUCCGGACGCCCGACGCCCAGGAAGCCUGCACCUUCAUCCGCUCGAACCUGGACCCCACCAGCGUGGACUCUCUGUUCUACGCCGCCCAGGCCAGCCAAGCCCUGCCCAACUGUCAGCUGACCAUCUCGAACGAGACGAAAGACCUGCUGGUGGCGGCGGUCGGCGAGGAGUCUCCGUCGGCCCAGAUCCACCACGCGGCGGGGGCCCUGGCCGGCCUGGCCCUCCCGCUCGCCCCCCGAGAAGCCCUGGCCGCCCUGGCCGCCCGCCUCGCCAAGGAAGAGAGCGUCAUGGCGGCGGUCCACGCCCUGGAGACGGCCGCCUACCUCUCCCAGGAAGCGGAUCUCAGCGGGAUCGUGGAGGAGAUCGAGGACCUGGUGGCCCGCCUCGAUGACCUGGGGGGCGUCUACCUGCAAUUCGAGGAGGGGCUGGAGACCACGGCCCUCUUCGUCGCAGCCACCUACCGGCUCUCCGACCACGUGGGAGCCGAGCCACCCAUCAAGGAGGAUCAAGUGGUCCAGUUGGCGAACGCCAUCUUCAGCAAGAAGCGCUGGGAGGCCCUGCCCGAGGCCUUCGCCGUGGCCGCCGCCGCCGCCGCCCUCGCCCACAACCGCUUCCACCUGCCCGUCGUCCUCACGCCCCACGGCCCGCCCACCGUCGCCCAGCAUCAGCCCGUGCUCCGGCUCCAAGUGACCGACGUCCUGUCGCGACCCCUGGCCCAGGCCACCGUCAAGCUGGAACACGCCAAGUUGGCGUCCACCAAAGCCACCGUCCUGCAGCAAACCACGUUCGCCAAGGCCGGGGACGAUUUCACCCUCGACUUCAUGAGCGUCAAACCGGCCAGCGGCUAUUACGACUUCUCCAUUAGAGUGGAAGGCGACGGCCGUUACAUCGCCAGCGCCGUGGAGCUGCAGGUCAAGGUGUCCACCGAGGUGGGCAUCGCCAACGUGGACCUGUCCACCGUCGACAAGGACCAGAGCAUCGCGCCCAAAACCACCCGGGUGGCCCACCCGGCCAAGGCCAAGGGCUCGUUCAUCGCCGACAGCCACCAGAACUUCGCCCUGUCCUUCCAGCUGGUCGACCAGAACACCGGGGCCGAGCUCACCCCGCACCAGACGUUCGUCCGCCUGCUGAACCAGAGGACGGGACAGGAGGUGGUGUUCGUGGCGGAGCCGGACAGCAGGAACGUCUACCGGUUCGAGCUGGACACGUCCGAGAGGAAGAGCGAGUUCAACUCCGCCUCCGGGACCUACGCCCUCCACCUCAUCGUCGGGGACGCCACCCUGGACAACCCCAUCCUCUGGAACGUGGCCGACGUGGUGGUGAAGUUCCCCGAGGAGGACGCCCCUUCCACCGUCCUGGCCAAGAACCUCUUCACCCCGAAACAGGAGAUCCAGCACCUGUUCAGGGAGCCGGAGAAGAGGCCCCCCGCGGCACUGUCCGCCACCUUCACUGCCCUCGUCCUCUCCCCGCUGCUGCUGCUCUUCAUCCUGUGGAUCCGCAUCGGCGCCAACGUCUCCAACCUGAGCCUGGCCCCCAGUACUAUCGUCUUUCACCUGGGACACGCAGCCACGCUGGGCCUCAUGUACGUGUACUGGACGCAGCUGAACAUGUUCCAGACGUUGAAGUUCCUGGCCCUGCUGGGCAGCGUCACCUUCCUGGCCGGAAACAGGAUGUUGGCCCACAAAGCCGUCAAGAGGUCGGCUGCGGAGCAGAGCAGCAGGCUGGCCAGGUAUAGGACCCUGCGCUAACCGCCCCCGCCUCCCCGCCGAGGGGAGGGGGGGCGUCUCUUCCCUAACGAGCACCGCUCUCCCCCUCCCCUCCCCAAGACCACGCGCUAGUCCCCGAUGGACGAAGAUCCCGCUCAGAGCCAGAGCCCGGCGUCCGGCCCAC